GUCACAUAGAUGUGAUUACUGUUGUCUUCUGUGACACUGAUUUAGAUCUGCUAAUGGACACAAAGACUAAGGGAUGAUGUGACAAAAUUGCAAGAGGCAGAGAUACCUACACAUACAGGCUUGUAAGUGUUAAUUGUAUUGAAGAGAGGCUGUUGAAAAAGAGAAUUAAACAUAUUAUUCAAGAACUGGCUGCUCAGGGAGGGGAUUGUUCAACAGACUUUUUAUCUCAGAACACAGGUGGUCAUCCUCUGUGUUAGACAAGCCUGUGCUAAAGUCCAAAAUUCUAUGUAUUCACAUCUAUGUAAACCACUUUGAGUUGAUGACAAUGACUACUAGAAAACGAAGUUCCUCAAAUAGAUUCCUG